AUUGAACGCUGGCGGCAUGCCUUACACAUGCAAGUCGAACGGCAGCACGGGUGCUUGCCCCUGGUGGCGAGUGGCGAACGGGUGAGUAAUACAUCGGAACAUGUCCUGUAGUGGGGGAUAGCCCGGCGAAAGCCGGAUUAAUACCGCAUACGAUCUACGGAUGAAAGCGGGGGACCUUCGGGUCUCGCGCUAUCGGGAUGGAAGAUGGCUGAUUAGCUAGUUGGUGGGGUAAAGGCCUACCAAGGCGACGAUCAGUAGCUGGUCUGAGAGGGCGACCAGCCACACUGGGACUGAGACACGGCCCAGACUCCUACGGGAGGCAGCAGUGGGGAAUUUUGGACAAUGGGCGAAAGCCUGAUCCAGCAAUGCCGCGUGUGUGAAGAAGGCCUUCGGGUUGUAAAGCACUUUUGUCCGGAAAGAAAUCCUUGGCUCUAAUACAGUCGGGUUAUGACGGUACCGGAAGAAUAAGCACCGGCUAACUACGUG
rnacentral:rRNA from 1 species